rnacentral:rRNA from 11 species
UCGGUGGAUGCCUUGGCAUCAAGAGCCGAUGAAGGACGUUGUAACCUGCGAUAAGCCAUGGGGAGCUGGUAAACGAGCUUUGAUCCGUGGAUCUCCGAAUAGGGAAACCUCGAAUGUCCGGAGUUGUGUCCGGCGACCUCCACCUGAAUAUAUAGGGUGGUUGGAGGGAACGUGGGGAAGUGAAACAUCUCAGUACCCACAGGAAGAGAAAACAAAAGUGAUUCCGUUAGUAGUGGCGAGCGAACGCGGA